CAGGGAACACUGAGAUUUGGGAAACUCCAAAGUUACACAAACAGUUCACUUGAACAAAUUCGUCUCAAUUAAACGAUUUCAGUUAAUUUACCUCGGCAAUAAAUACAAGCCCAACUUCGGACAAAAGUAUCAUUCGCAAACUUAUUUGGGCAUCCGAAGCUUGCCUACUUUCUCGAGCCAUCACUACCACCAUGUCUACCCAACUUUUCGCCAUGGCGACCAUCUUAACCAUCGCCCUGGCCACCUGCGCCCCACAAUACGGCGAAGUUUGCAGCAGCGUUAACCAAUGUACCGCCUAUUCCGUUAAUUUUGAACAAAGCGUUACUUGCAUGUUUCGCCCCAACGCUACCAAUCCGGUCGGAUUAUGUUACACGACCGCUGUGGCGGCAGGAAAAUGCGCCUGCGCGAGAAACUGCGGCGCAUUCGGCGAUCAUCAUGAAAAUGGCGAAUAUUCCCCGGCAGACGGUCACUGCGUCGCAUUUGUGGGCAGACGAUGUUACAAAUACUGGCCAGUGAAUGACUGUGUCGAAAAUGCUUAUUGCCCAACCAACAGCAGCUACUGCGUUUGCAGUUUGGGAUUCGAAACCGGACCGGAUGGCAAGCAUUGUGUGGCUGCUAAAAAAUAAAUGACAUAUUUUUUUUUCUACCGAAUUUUGAAAUAAUCGAAUAAUUCGACCGUAUAAAAAAUAGCAACGUAAUAAAUAUUUGGUUUUUUUGCACAAAGAA